UAACAAUUCAUGAAUUAAUAGAUACCAUGCAAAUCAAUAAGGUAAUUCCAUAAUAUGCAGUAAAGGUAUAAACAUGCAUGUUUAUCCAAUUAUGACAUGUACCAUUGUAUCACGAAUUAUUUAUUCAAGAAAAUAAUUCCGAUUAUUAGUGAAGAAUAAAACUCACAUCAUUUAAGUUUUAUAAUAUAGAUUCUCAGACCCACUUUAGUAUCUGUUGCAACACAAUCCCAACAAAUGGGAAGUGACAUCAGAAUUCUUACAUUUUAGUUAUCACAAAAAGAAAAUUAUCCCAAAAAUACUUAUGUGUGUCAUUAGGCGAUAAGUGUACAUAAAUUCAGUAAUAUCUGAUAAAACACAAAAAUAGAAAACAAUUUAUAAUGAAUCAUAUAACCUAAUCAAAGAACUCACAGAAGUCAUGAAUGUAUAUAAAAUGUGGUAUUUUAAAUAAUUUUGAGGUAUUUUUUUAUUUUUAAAAAAAUAAAUAAAAACUCUCUUUAGCCAAAUAUCACUUAAAUAAAUAUUCUUGAUUUUAUAUAAAAAAAAAUAGAACUUAAUCAAUUUAAAAAUAUUUUUAACACUUUUUACGAAUUUAUUUCUAAGCAAAAAAAAAAUAAUAAUAAUAAUAAUAAUAAUAAUAAUAAUAAUAUUAACUAUCCAAAAAUUAAUUUAAUUAUAGUGAAAAAUUUUAAAUAAUUCAGGGACCAAUCUACAAUUUUUAGAAUUGAAAUUAGGUCCCACACGUGCCUAAGGGAUGGCAAUAAAAUUCGCCCCGACCCGAACGGGUUGGCAGGCGCCCCGCCCCGAACCCGUCCCGUGAAGGGGGGGGAAAAAAGAUUAAAAAUAAUUUUGUUUCUAAACAAUUCACCCCUUAAAAACCCAUUUUAAAUUUAUAUUUUAUUCUCUAAUAAUAAUAUAACUCGAAACUUUGAAAAUAUAAAAAAAUUAAACGGGGUAAAAAGUUACCCUGUCCCCGCGCCCCACCCGCCCCACCCCAUCUAAGGCUAGGCGUG
rnacentral:sRNA from 1 species